rnacentral:pre_miRNA from 8 species
UGCCCUGCCCACCCCUCUAAUCCUUGCUCUCUGGGUGCUAGUGCUGUCUCCAUGCAAUGCACCUGGGCAAGGAUUCAGAGAGGGUGGGCU